GGUCCGCUCUAACAAGCGGGGCUGGGGGAGGGGUCUGCAGUGAGGUCUCUGGGGUUCCUGUGUCCCGAUCCUUGUCCAAGUGCCUGCCCAGGUGAAUUCCAUAUCCUGGUAGCAGCCUAUCUUUGUGAGCCCCAGGGGCUGCUGGGUGCCUUCCCAGGGGAGCUCCAUAUCUUUGGAGAGGCCUGCCCUUGGGAGCCCCGUGUGAACAAGCGUCCUUUGCAGCUGGCACAGAGUUGUUUACUGUGAUUCUCCUGAGGGCAUUGCUGGGAUGAGAUGAGAACCAGAAAGUGCUAUAGGUCUUUGGACUCUCCACCUAGGCUCAUCCAGAGUGACAAGUGUAUUGACGCCACCUGGAGCAUUCGUGCGUUGCUUCUCUGUCGGUGGUCGCCAAAGCACAGUGUUUCCCAAAGCCACCCCAGCGCCGAAACAAGACAUUUGCCCCAGGGGGCCAGAAGGGAUUUCAGAAUUGCCUGCCUAUGCCCCACCAGGCUUUAGGUCAUGCCUUCACACCAGGUGCAUAGAAAGAAGAGAAGAGGCUCCCAUGGACAGAAACGGAAGCAGUUUCCGGAGACCUCUGGAGAGACCAUGCCCUGUGAUUGGCACUGCUGCUGUCCAACAUACCACCGUGUUGGCACCUCCCAGGCACUCUAUGCGCAUCCCCAAACCCAGGUCAGGCUGGCCUCCCUCAACUAGCAGCUCAAGCACAGAAACCAAGACAAAGCCCCAGAAAACCAGCCACCUACAUGAAAACUGGGGAAGGCACCCGAAGACACCUUUCCCCAAACCAGACAGACGGAGGGCAUCAGGCACCGGAAAAAGGAACACCGUCACUCAUUCAUCGAGAGUGAAUCACACAUCCCAACGAGGCCGAGGGACCUCCUCAGUCCUCUCCCAGUGGCCAUUCUUUGGACGCCUUCGAAAUGCAAACCCUGGACAGGGUGUGGACAAGAAGGUGCCCUCCUAGAGUGUGGGUGUCUAGGGCCCUGUGUACAACCACUCUGGGCCACAGGAUCCAGGGCAUCCGAAAAAGAACCCUAGAAGGCCUGCAGGACCCAGCACACCCACGCUUGGACAUCUCUCCAGAACAUGUCCCUUGCCAAGAGAGAAAUGCCCCACGAGGUUCAGGCAGCACACUUCCCAGGAGCAAGCCAUGGAAACGUGUUGUCUGUCCAUGGACAGACGAUUGGAUCAGGAAGGGGAUCUCCAUACACACAACGGAAGCGGACGCAGCCAUGAAAAUGUGUCACAACAAGUGCCUUUGGCAGCCACUUCGUUGGAAAGAAAACCUCUCACACGACACAAGGUAUGUCGGAGAGAGCAACCCCAAGAGCAUGGGAAAGCCCUGCCCUCCGGAAUCUUCCAAAUGACACCAAGGAACCUUCGUCCAGGAAGGAAACUCUCGGAUGGCAAUACAGACUUUGGGUUGCCAGACUGGAGGGGGCGGGUGUGGGAAGGACAGGGAUGUGAAAGGUGCAGAUCCAAACACUUGCCCUUGGCGUGGGUCAUCAAGGACACCCUGCUGUUUAGCCCCGGGGAUAAUAUGGAGGCACUGUUUUUGGAAGCAAAUGGAGGAUCACGGGAGACGAGCAAUAUGGACAGACAUGUACGAUGGGAUCACUUUGGUGUUCAGGUCACAUGGAGCCCCAUACAUCAGCGACAAUCAAAAAGAAAUCAGGAUCAGAAACAGAAAAAAUAAAAAAUGACGACAGUAUGAGCAGCUCAGCGUUCCCCUGAGAAGGUGUCAGGUUCGAAGCAGCUGCCCCUCGGUAAAAGAGACAGGCACAAAGACUCCUUUGAUCCUGUCCCAACAGGGCUCUGUCUCUGUCCCUCCUGGGGUUGUGGUUUAGCUGCACUGAGAGAUCCAAACCUGGCAAGACAACUCCCCAGUGUCCCAGGUGGCACCUGAAUAAUGAAUAAAUAGAAGUUCCUAGUCAAAUAAGGUCAAUAGAUUAAGAAUUCUAAAAAUAUGUACGUAUGUUCCUACGUUUUAUCUAAUUCAGUUGAUAGAUAAAGCAAUUCCAAAUGCUCUCCUGACAUUAUACUUGUGGUGGCAGAAGGUUUUAAGGAUGAGCCUGAGGUAGUAAAAGCUGUGGCAUAGACUGAAUUCCUGGCCACACUGCAUAUGCAUGACCCAUGGAGUACAAAAAAAAUAAGUUAAUAAAGAUGGAAAUAAUCCAUACAUCCAUACACCACAGCCAAUUAUUUCAGGUAAUUAUUAUAUUAAGUAAUAACGCUCCCAUGGCUCAAUGGGUGGGGCAGUAGAGGGUAUUCACGGUACCAACUUGGGCAAGUUAGGCUAGUGCCCUAAAAAGUUUUGAUAGAGAAAUACCCCCUUCUUAGGGUACUUCAUGGCACUUAGAGGGGGAGGAAACAUAACAUCAAAUCCACAGGCUAGCCCAAGGCCAGUGCAGACCCCAGGAGAGCUCAGCCAGAUAAGAAAGCAGGCCUGAGAAUUGCCAUUAGGGAUGAUGUCCACAAGAUGGCGCGAGGUGUACCUUCUGGUCCCAGGCUGCAGGAUACAGGUUCAGACAUGGGGUUGAGGAUGGGUUUGGGAAAAGCCCCAGCAAGCACCUGGAGAUUUGGGGUUGUUUUCAGGGCACCUGGGACUUUAUGAGCCAAGAUGCCUCCAGUCAGGCAGUGAUCGCAGGUGUCCUUUCAGCACUGGAUGUGGACUUGCAGCCUGGCUGGGUGUCACAGUGGUAAGAAAGCUUGGCAGGUUCAUUGGGGUCAGACGGCCUGUUGUUUCUCAAGAAGCAGGAGUCUGGACCAGGACACCAUCUCUUGUGAAGCCAGAGCUGGAAAUUUUGAAACCAGAUGCAGAGCUGGGUUUUGUGGUCUGGAUAAAGUGCCUGUGGGUGGUGAAUGGAAGGUGGUAAAAUGGUGAUAUUUUGGUAGAAGCUGCACUAACCCCUGAGCUUUUUCUCUCAAGAGGUCUCCUGAAAUACCAUUCUUUUCUUUCCAUUCUUGCUAUAAACCUGGUAGGAAGACCUGAUCAAAAGCUAGGUCUGGGGAAUUAAGGCUAGUAGAUUGAUAUAAACAAAGCUGUCUCAGAGAUCACUUCUGGCUGCCUGGGUAAAGGAUAUGACUUUGUUCCUGCAGUGGGACUGGUAAUAUCUGCAGCUUGAAAUCUGUCCAUGGGCAGAGAACUCAUACAUGCUUCAGUUGGGGUCAAUAAAGUAAGAAUGAGAGAGAGAGAGAAGUAAAGAAAUAAAUAAAGACAUACGUAUGAAUGAAUAAAAGUCAGGUAAGAAAAAUCAAUAAAUACAUACAUACAAAUAUCCAUAAAUACAUAAAUGAAUAAAUAUAUGAAAAAGUGAAGAAGGCAUAACAUGAUGGGUAUGGAGCUGAGGGUGAAUGGGUUGGAGUUGGGGAGGUUGGCCUCAGUGCACUUUGAGAGAGACAUAGCCCAAUUUGUCGAUCACUUCUUGGUAUUUAAAGAAAGAGGGGGAAGGAAAGCCAGCCAGCAUAUAGCCCAAGGCCAAUGCACCCGGAAUGGCUGAGCCAGAGAGAGGAAAACCUGAGAGUUGCUGUUAGAGCAGAUGUCCACAAGAUGGCGCCAGAGUACCUUCUGAUUCCUGUACACCUCCAAGGCUGCAAUAUCCAGGCUCAGAAGUGGGGUUGAUGGUGGGUAUGUCAGAACCCCCAGCAAGCACUGAGAGGUUUGGCAUUGUUCUCUGGGGUCCUGUGAC